rnacentral:rRNA from 1 species
GGGGAAUAUUGGACAAUGGGCGAAAGCCUGAUCCAGCCAUGCCGCGUGUGUGAAGAAGGCCUUCGGAUUGUAAAGCACUUUAAGUUGGGAGGAAGGGCAGUUACCCAAUACGUAUCUGUUCUGACGUUACCGACAGAAUAAGCACCGGCUAACUCUGUGCCAGCAGCCGCGGUAAUACAGAGGGGGCAAGCGAUAAUCGGAAUUACUGGGUGUAACGCGCGCGUAGGCGGCUUGGUAAGCUCGAUGUG